UGUACGCAUCUGAAAAAGCUCUGUACACAUAUUUUCAGUGGAAACCUUGAUAAAAUACGACAGUGAAAAUUUCCAUAUACUUGGUUCAUCAUGGGGACACUUCAGUUUAGGUAAACUUACCUAAGCCUGCUUAAGUUGUUUCGUUAUGAGAUUUCACCAGACACCCCUGGCUCCAGGACCAUGGCACAGAAAAUGGGGUGCCCAACACCUGCUGCUUUGCACAUUUUGGAUGCUGCUGCUUAAUAUAUACCCCUGCUCUUCGCAGAAACUGUUUACAACCAUUUCAAAGGAGAAACUAGUUCAGCAAACUUCUCAAGUGGACAAGAAGAGGUGCAUCCUGGCAAAGUGAGCAGUUGUCCAGAUACCAGUUCUAUCACUGACCAAUUACAGACAAGUGUCAC